GGGGUGACUGCGUACCUUUUGUAUAAUGGGUCAGCGACUUAUAUUCUGUAGCAAGGUUAACCGAAUAGGGGAGCCGAAGGGAAACCGAGUCUUAACUGGGCGUUAAGUUGCAGGGUAUAGACCCGAAACCCGGUGAUCUAGCCAUGGGCAGGUUGAAGGUUGGGUAACACUAACUGGAGGACCGAACCGACUAAUGUUGAAAAAUUAGCGGAUGACUUGUGGCUGGGGGUGAAAGGCCAAUCAAACCGGGAGAUAGCUGGUUCUCCCCGAAAGCUAUUUAGGUAGCGCCUCGUGAAUUCAUCUCCGGGGGUAGAGCACUGUUUCGGCAAGGGGGUCAUCCCGACUUACCAACCCGAUGCAAACUGCGAAUACCGGAGAAUGUUAUCACGGGAGACACACGGCGGGUGCUAACGUCCGUCGUGAAGAGGGAAACAACCCAGACCGCCAGCUAAGGUCCCAAAGUCAUGGUUAAGUGGGAAACGAUGUGGGAAGGCCCAGACAGCCAGGAUGUUGGCUUAGAAGCAGCCAUCAUUUAAAGAAAGCGUAAUAGCUCACUGGUCGAGUCGGCCUGCGCGGAAGAUGUAACGGGGCUAAACCAUGCACCGAAGCUGCGGCAGCGACACUAUGUGUUGUUGGGUAGGGGAGCGUUCUGUAAGCCUGUGAAGGUGUGCUGUGAGGCAUGCUGGAGGUAUCAGAAGUGCGAAUGCUGACAUAAGUAACGAUAAAGCGGGUGAAAAGCCCGCUCGCCGGAAGACCAAGGGUUCCUGUCCAACGUUAAUCGGGGCAGGGUGAGUCGACCCCUAAGGCGAGGCCGAAAGGCGUAGUCGAUGGGAAACAGGUUAAUAUUCCUGUACUUGGUGUUACUGCGAAGGGGGGACGGAGAAGGCUAUGUUGGCCGGGCGACGGUUGUCCCGGUUUAAGCGUGUAGGCUGGUUUUCCAGGCAAAUCCGGAAAACCAAGGCUGAGGCGUGAUGACGAGGCACUACGGUGCUGAAGCGACAAAUGCCCUGCUUCCAGGAAAAGCCUCUAAGCAUCAGGUAACAUUAAAUCGUACCCCAAACCGACACAGGUGGUCAGGUAGAGAAUACCAAGGCGCUUGAGAGAACUCGGGUGAAGGAACUAGGCAAAAUGGUGCCGUAACUUCGGGAGAAGGCACGCUGAUAUGUAGGUGAAGCGACUUGCUCGUGGAGCUGAAAUCAGUCGAAGAUACCAGCUGGCUGCAACUGUUUAUUAAAAACACAGCACUGUGCAAACACGAAAGUGGACGUAUACGGUGUGACGCCUGCCCGGUGCCGGAAGGUUAAUUGAUGGGGUUAGCGGUAACGCGAAGCUCUUGAUCGAAGCCCCGGUAAACGGCGGCCGUAACUAUAACGGUCCUAAGGUAGCGAAAUUCCUUGUCGGGUAAGUUCCGACCUGCACGAAUGGCGUAAUGAUGGCCAGGCUGUCUCCACCCGAGACUCAGUGAAAUUGAACUCGCUGUGAAGAUGCAGUGUACCCGCGGCAAGACGGAAAGACCCCGUGAACCUUUACUAUAGCUUGACACUGAACAUUGAGCCUUGAUGUGUAGGAUAGGUGGGAGGCUUUGAAGUGUGGACGCCAGUCUGCAUGGAGCCGACCUUGAAAUACCACCCUUUAAUGUUUGAUGUUCUAACGUUGGCCCGUAAUCCGGGUUGCGGACAGUGUCUGGUGGGUAGUUUGACUGGGGCGGUCUCCUCCUAAAGAGUAACGGAGGAGCACGAAGGUUGGCUAAUCCUGGUCGGACAUCAGGAGGUUAGUGCAAUGGCAUAAGCCAGCUUGACUGCGAGCGUGACGGCGCGAGCAGGUGCGAAAGCAGGUCAUAGUGAUCCGGUGGUUCUGAAUGGAAGGGCCAUCGCUCAACGGAUAAAAGGUACUCCGGGGAUAACAGGCUGAUACCGCCCAAGAGUUCAUAUCGACGGCGGUGUUUGGCACCUCGAUGUCGGCUCAUCACAUCCUGGGGCUGAAGUAGGUCCCAAGGGUAUGGCUGUUCGCCAUUUAAAGUGGUACGCGAGCUGGGUUUAGAACGUCGUGAGACAGUUCGGUCCCUAUCUGCCGUGGGCGCUGGAGAACUGAGGGGGGCUGCUCCUAGUACGAGAGGACCGGAGUGGACGCAUCACUGGUGUUCGGGUUGUCAUGCCAAUGGCACUGCCCGGUAGCUAAAUGCGGAAGAGAUAAGUGCUGAAAGCAUCUAAGCACGAAACUUGCCCCGAGAUGAGUUCUCCCUGACUCCUUGAGGGUCCUGAAGGAACGUUGAAGACGACGACGUUGAUAGGCCGGGUGUGUAAGCGCAGCGAUGCGUUGAGCUAACCGGUACUAAUGAACCGUGAGGCUUAACCUUACAACGCCGAAG
rnacentral:rRNA from 1 species